CGGGGGCGUGGAGCCUGCAGACGGUGGCCCAGCCUGCUCUUCUGUCCUGGGCUACUUGCACUAGGAGGAGGGGCGCGCUGUGCUCUUGUUUUCA
ensembl:miRNA